CAGUCGAAGAUACCAGCUGGCUGCAACUGUUUAUUAAAAACACAGCACUGUGCAAACACGAAAGUGGACGUAUACGGUGUGACGCCUGCCCGGUGCUGGAAGGUUAAUUGAUGGGGUCAGCCGUAAGGCGAAGCUCCUGAUCGAAGCCCCAGUAAACGGCGGCCGUAACUAUAACGGUCCUAAGGUAGCGAAAUUCCUUGUCGGGUAAGUUCCGACCUGCACGAAUGGCGUAAUGAUGGCCAGGCUGUCUCCACCCGAGACUCAGUGAAAUUGAACUCGCUGUGAAGAUGCAGUGUACCCGCGGCAAGACGGAAAGACCCCGUGAACCUUUACUAUAGCUUGACACUGAACAUUGAGCCUUGAUGUGUAGGAUAGGUGGGAGGCUUUGAAGUGUGGACGCCAGUCUGCAUGGAGCCAACCUUGAAAUACCACCCUUUAACGUUUGAUGUUCUAACCUAGGCCCAUAAACUGGGUCGGGGACCGUGUCUGGUGGGUAGUUUGACUGGGGCGGUCUCCUCCUAAAGAGUAACGGAGGAGCACGAAGGUUGGCUAAGCAUGGUCGGACAUCAUGCGGUUAGUGCAAAGGCAUAAGCCAGCUUGACUGCGAGAGUGACGGCUCGAGCAGGUACGAAAGUAGGUCUUAGUGAUCCGGUGGUUCUGAAUGGAAGGGCCAUCGCUCAACGGAUAAAAGGUACUCCGGGGAUAACAGGCUGAUACCGCCCAAGAGUUCAUAUCGACGGCGGUGUUUGGCACCUCGAUGUCGGCUCAUCACAUCCUGGGGCUGAAGUAGGUCCCAAGGGUAUGGCUGUUCGCCAUUUAAAGUGGUACGCGAGCUGGGUUUAGAACGUCGUGAGACAGUUCGGUCCCUAUCUGCCGUGGGCGUUGGAAGAUUGAGAGGGGUUGCUCCUAGUACGAGAGGACCGGAGUGAACGCACCACUGGUGUUCGGGUUGUCAUGCCAAUGGCAUUGCCCGGUAGCUAAGUGCGGAAGAGAUAACCGCUGAAAGCAUCUAAGCGGGAAACUUGCC
rnacentral:rRNA from 1 species